GUCGCCAUGUCUUCCGGGGCCAGCGUGAGCGCCCUGCAGCGCCUGGUAGAGCAGCUGAAGCUGGAGGCCGGCGUGGAGAGGAUCAAGGUCUCUCAGGCAGCUGCAGAGCUUCAGCAGUACUGCAUACAGAAUGCAUGCAAGGACGCCCUGCUGCUUGGUGUUCCGGCUGGAAGCAACCCCUUCCGGGAGCCCAGGUCCUGUGCUUUACUUUGAAGACUGGCUGCUCUGUGUCAAGAGGAAGCAGCCCUUCCCACUAGACCUACUUCCUGCUUGGCUCUUGUGUAAGAUAUGGUGAAACCAGUAUGAAUCCAGCAGUCUCCACUUUUGCCUACCCACCAACCUUAAAAACUAUAAAGAAACUAAAACUGGGGAAGAAGCUCUCUGAGGAACCUGUGUGUGCAUGGUGAUGGAUGACUACCGCCAAGUCCCAAGAAAACAGAUUUCAAGAGCCAAAUCAUUUUCUCUGUGGCCUGGUCCUAGGUCAAAAUUCUACAGAAAUCAAUGUUUUGUCUUAUUUUUUAACCUCAUUACCAAACUCACUGGGUGCAUCUCUCAGUCAAGCCUGUGCGGCCCUGCCUGGGAUGGAGGCAUGUUUUGUUUACUGGGUAUUUGCAUUUCUGGAUGGAAAUGUUGUAUUUCCGAAAACUGAGUAUUUGUAAUUUUCCUAACAUUUUUAUACUGUAAUAAAAAAUUUUCAUAAAAAUUUACAGUUACUAAAUUAGACAAAGUAUAAAUUGGGGAAUGAUUGAUAUGCUGGUUUCGUAAAGGAGGCCUUUCCAGUCCCAGUGAGCAAACGGUCUGACCUGGACGGGAAGCUGGGGAGCCGCUCCUUAGCACACGGAGCAUGGAUGUGUUGUUAGGUGGCCCUCCCGUGUGAAGCCAUUAGAACUUUCUUUAGUUCCUGUACUCUACAACUUAUAAUUGUGUCUGAUGCUUUGAAAAGUGUGCUCAUGCCUUUAAAAAUGUUUAAAUGUGAUCUACACUUAGAACGUUGCAAUUGGUUAAAAACAAAAUAUGAAGAUAUUAUAACCUAAAAGAAUUCAUGUCACACAUAUUUUAUUGGGGGUGAUGUGCCUUUGAUUUAAUUGGGGACACUUUUAGAAGGAAAGUUUGUGUUUGUGAUUAUCUUUGAAGAGCUUGGAAAUAAAAUUUUUGCCUAAUUCAUCAUUUUCCAUGACAACA
rnacentral:lncRNA from 1 species